UCCUGGUUAGCUCAGCUGGUAGAGCUUCCACUGGAAAUGGAGAGGAACUUGGUUCGAUAGCAGGAUUAGGCA
rnacentral:tRNA from 1 species